CCUCACCUCCUGCCGGCCUCUCUGCUUGCCCUCCCCGCCCCAGAGGGGGGGUGGGAGGCCUUGAGAUUGUCCCCGGUACCCCAAGGACGCCGAGGUUACGGGAAGUUUGGGGACUCGGGCCCCAGGAUCCCGAGUUCUUCCAGGAGAAGGAAGAUGGCGAAGACAGUGGGGAAGAGAGCAGACGUCUGACUCUGGGGUGCUUAUCUGUGUGGAAGAGACCGGUUCUUCCUGACUGGCUUCAUGUCCCUCAAGAUCCCAAAGAAGGCUAUGGCCAUUUCAAAGCAGAGACUCAGCAGCCUGCUCCUGGGUGCAAAGAGACAAGGCCAGGUGCAGCCUGUGCUCACAAUCUUGGAAG
rnacentral:lncRNA from 1 species